rnacentral:tRNA from 1 species
GCGCCGGGUAGCUCAGUGGAAGAGCACCACACGCCGUCCUUCGCCCCUUGCCCGGUUCCGGGCCGAUGAGGGAUGGUUACCGCUGCUAACGGGGAUGUCGCGGGUUCGAGUCCCGCCCCGGCGCC